GAUGAACGCUGGCGGCGUGCCUAAUACAUGCAAGUCGAGCGAAUGGAUUAAGAGCUUGCUCUUAUGAAGUUAGCGGCGGACGGGUGAGUAACACGUGGGUAACCUGCCCAUAAGACUGGGAUAACUCCGGGAAACCGGGGCUAAUACCGGAUAACAUUUUGAACCGCAUGGUUCGAAAUUGAAAGGCGGCUUCGGCUGUCACUUAUGGAUGGACCCGCGUCGCAUUAGCUAGUUGGUGAGGUAACGGCUCACAAAGGCAACGAUGCGUAGCCGACCUGAGAGGGUGAUCGACAACACCGGGACUGAGACACGGCCCAAACUCCUACGGGAGGCAGCAGUAGGGAAUCUUCCGCAAUGGACGAAAGUCUGACGGAGCAACGCCGCGUGAGUGGUGAAGGCUUUCGGGUCGUAAAACUCUGUUGUUAGGGAAGAACAAGUGCUAGUUGAAUAAGCUGGCACCUUGACGGUACCUAACCAGAAAGCCACGGCUAACUACGUGCCAGCCGCCGCGGUAA
rnacentral:rRNA from 1 species